GUCUAUGGCCAUACUACCUUGAACAUGGUUGAUCUCAGAAGCUAAGCAGCGUUGGGCCUGGUUAGUAUUUGGAUGGGAGACAGUUAAGCGCCAAGCCA
rnacentral:rRNA from 1 species